rnacentral:rRNA from 1 species
UAGUGGAGUGAUUUGUCUGGUUAAUUCCGAUAACGAACGAGACCUUAACCUGCUAAAUAGCCAGGCCGGCUUUGGCUGGUCGUCGGCUUCUUAGAGGGACUAACGGCGUCUAGCCGUUGGAAGUUUGAGGCAAUAACA